GAUGAAGAACGUAGCAAAAUGCGAUAAGUAAUGUGAAUUGCAGAAUUCAGUGAAUCAUCGAAUCUUUGAACGCACAUUGCGCCCGCCAGUAUUCUGGCGGGCAUGCCUGUUCGAGCGUCAUUUCAACCCUCAAGCACAGCUUGGUGUUGGGACUCGCGUUAAUUCGCGUUCCCCAAAUUGAUUGGCGGUCACGUCGAGCUUCCAUAGCGUAGUAGUAAAACCCUCGUUACUGGUAAUCGUCGCGGCCACGCCGUUAAACCCCAACUUCUGAAAGUGGACCUCGGAUCAGGUAGGAAUACCCGCUGAACUUAAGCAUAUCAAUAAGCGGAGGA
rnacentral:misc_RNA from 1 species